UAGGGAAUCUUCGGCAAUGGGGGGAACCCUGACCGAGCAACGCCGCGUGAGUGAAGAAGGUUUUCGGAUCGUAAAGCUCUGUUGUCAGCCAAGAACGGGUGUGAGAGUGGAAAGCUCACACUGUGACGGUAACUGACCAGAAAGGGACGGCUAACUACGUGCCAGCAGCCGCGGUAAUACGUAGGUCCCGAGCGUUGUCCGGAUUUAUUGGGCGUAAAGCGAGCGCAGGCGGUUAGAUAAGUCUGAAGUAAAAGGCUGUGGCUUAACCAUAGUAUGCUUUGGAAACUGUUUAACUUGAGUGCAGAAGGGGAGAGUGGAAUUCCAUGUGUAGCGGUGAAAUGCGUAGAUAUAUGGAGGAACACCGGUGGCGAAAGCGGCUCUCUGGUCUGUAACUGACGCUGAGGCUCGAAAGCGUGGGUAGCGAACAGG
rnacentral:rRNA from 1 species